rnacentral:rRNA from 1 species
AUUGAACGCUGGCGGCAGGCCUAACACAUGCAAGUCGAACGGUAACAGGAAGCAGCUUGCUUCUUUGCUGACGAGUGGCGGACGGGUGAGUAAUGUCUGGGAAACUGCCUGAUGGAGGGUGAUAACUACUGGAAACGGUAGCUAAUACCUCAUAACGUCGCAAGACCAAAAAGGGGGACCUUCGGGCCUCUUGCCAUCGGAUGUGCCCAGCUGGGAUUAGCUAGUAGGUGGGGUAACGGCUCACCUAGGCGACGAUCCCUAGCUGGUCUGAGAGGAUGACCAGCCACACGGGAACUGAGACACGGUCCAGACUCCUACGGGAGGCAGCAGUGGGGAAUAUUGCACAAUGGGCGCAAGCCUGAUGCAGCCAUGCCGCGUGUAUGAAGAAGGCCUUCGGGUUGUAAAGUACUUUCAGCGGGGAGGAAGGGAGUAAAGUUAAUACCUUUGCUCAGUGACGUUACCCGCAGAAGAAGCACCGGCUAACUCCGUG